CUUGCGCAAUGGGCGAAAGCCUGACGCAGCGACGCCGCGUGAGUGAAGAAGGCCUUCGGGUUGUAAAACUCUGUCCUUAGGGAAGAAGUAAGUGACGGUACCUGAGGAGGAAGCCCCGGCUAACUACGUGCCAGCAGCCGCGGUAAUACGUAGGGGGCGAGCGUUGUCCGGAAUUACUGGGCGUAAAGGGCGUGUAGGCGGCUAAAUAAGUCAGGUGUGAAAACUGUGGGCUCAACCCAGAGAUUGCACCUGAAACUGUCUAGCUUGAGGGUAGGAGAGGAAAGUGGAAUUCCUAGUGUAGCGGUGAAAUGCGUAGAUAUUAGGAGGAAUACCAGUGGCGAAGGCGACUUUCUGGACAUAUACUGACGCUGAGGAACGAAAGCGUGGGGAGCAAAC
rnacentral:rRNA from 1 species